UUAAGCGACUAAGCGUACACGGUGGAUGCCCUGGCAGUCAGAGGCGAUGAAGGACGUGCUAAUCUGCGAUAAGCGUCGGUAAGGUGAUAUGAACCGUUAUAACCGGCGAUUUCCGAAUGGGGAAACCCAGUGUGAUUCGUCACACUAUCAUUAACUGAAUCCAUAGGUUAAUGAGGCGAACCGGGGGAACUGAAACAUCUAAGUACCCCGAGGAAAAGAAAUCAACCGAGAUUCCCCCAGUAGCGGCGAGCGAACGGGGAGGAGCCCAGAGCCUGAAUCAGUGUGUGUGUUAGUGGAAGCGUCUGGAAAGGCGCGCGAUACAGGGUGACAGCCCCGUACACAAAAAUGCACAUAUUGUGAGCUCGAUGAGUAGGGCGGGACACGUGGUAUCCUGUCUGAAUAUGGGGGGACCAUCCUCCAAGGCUAAAUACUCCUGACUGACCGAUAGUGAACCAGUACCGUGAGGGAAAGGCGAAAAGAACCCCGGCGAGGGGAGUGAAAAAGAACCUGAAACCGUGUACGUACAAGCAGUGGGAGCACGCUUAGGCGUGUGACUGCGUACCUUUUGUAUAAUGGGUCAGCGACUUAUAUUCUGUAGCAAGGUUAACCGAAUAGGGGAGCCGAAGGGAAACCGAGUCUUAACUGGGCGUUAAGUUGCAGGGUAUAGACCCGAAACCCGGUGAUCUAGCCAUGGGCAGGUUGAAGGUUGGGUAACACUAACUGGAGGACCGAACCGACUAAUGUUGAAAAAUUAGCGGAUGACUUGUGGCUGGGGGUGAAAGGCCAAUCAAACCGGGAGAUAGCUGGUUCUCCCCGAAAGCUAUUUAGGUAGCGCCUCGUGAAUUCAUCUCCGGGGGUAGAGCACUGUUUCGGCAAGGGGGUCAUCCCGACUUACCAACCCGAUGCAAACUGCGAAUACCGGAGAAUGUUAUCACGGGAGACACACGGCGGGUGCUAACGUCCGUCGUGAAGAGGGAAACAACCCAGACCGCCAGCUAAGGUCCCAAAGUCAUGGUUAAGUGGGAAACGAUGUGGGAAGGCCCAGACAGCCAGGAUGUUGGCUUAGAAGCAGCCAUCAUUUAAAGAAAGCGUAAUAGCUCACUGGUCGAGUCGGCCUGCGCGGAAGAUGUAACGGGGCUAAACCAUGCACCGAAGCUGCGGCAGCGACGCUUAUGCGUUGUUGGGUAGGGGAGCGUUCUGUAAGCCUGUGAAGGUGUGCUGUGAGGCAUGCUGGAGGUAUCAGAAGUGCGAAUGCUGACAUAAGUAACGAUAAAGCGGGUGAAAAGCCCGCUCGCCGGAAGACCAAGGGUUCCUGUCCAACGUUAAUCGGGGCAGGGUGAGUCGACCCCUAAGGCGAGGCCGAAAGGCGUAGUCGAUGGGAAACAGGUUAAUAUUCCUGUACUUGGUGUUACUGCGAAGGGGGGACGGAGAAGGCUAUGUUGGCCGGGCGACGGUUGUCCCGGUUUAAGCGUGUAGGCUGGUUUUCCAGGCAAAUCCGGAAAAUCAAGGCUGAGGCGUGAUGACGAGGCACUACGGUGCUGAAGCAACAAAUGCCCUGCUUCCAGGAAAAGCCUCUAAGCAUCAGGUAACAUCAAAUCGUACCCCAAACCGACACAGGUGGUCAGGUAGAGAAUACCAAGGCGCUUGAGAGAACUCGGGUGAAGGAACUAGGCAAAAUGGUGCCGUAACUUCGGGAGAAGGCACGCUGAUAUGUAGGUGAAGUCCCUCGCGGAUGGAGCUGAAAUCAGUCGAAGAUACCAGCUGGCUGCAACUGUUUAUUAAAAACACAGCACUGUGCAAACACGAAAGUGGACGUAUACGGUGUGACGCCUGCCCGGUGCCGGAAGGUUAAUUGAUGGGGUUAGCCGCAAGGCGAAGCUCUUGAUCGAAGCCCCGGUAAACGGCGGCCGUAACUAUAACGGUCCUAAGGUAGCGAAAUUCCUUGUCGGGUAAGUUCCGACCUGCACGAAUGGCGUAAUGAUGGCCAGGCUGUCUCCACCCGAGACUCAGUGAAAUUGAACUCGCUGUGAAGAUGCAGUGUACCCGCGGCAAGACGGAAAGACCCCGUGAACCUUUACUAUAGCUUGACACUGAACAUUGAGCCUUGAUGUGUAGGAUAGGUGGGAGGCUUUGAAGUGUGGACGCCAGUCUGCAUGGAGCCGACCUUGAAAUACCACCCUUUAAUGUUUGAUGUUCUAACGUUGACCCGUAAUCCGGGUUGCGGACAGUGUCUGGUGGGUAGUUUGACUGGGGCGGUCUCCUCCUAAAGAGUAACGGAGGAGCACGAAGGUUGGCUAAUCCUGGUCGGACAUCAGGAGGUUAGUGCAAUGGCAUAAGCCAGCUUGACUGCGAGCGUGACGGCGCGAGCAGGUGCGAAAGCAGGUCAUAGUGAUCCGGUGGUUCUGAAUGGAAGGGCCAUCGCUCAACGGAUAAAAGGUACUCCGGGGAUAACAGGCUGAUACCGCCCAAGAGUUCAUAUCGACGGCGGUGUUUGGCACCUCGAUGUCGGCUCAUCACAUCCUGGGGCUGAAGUAGGUCCCAAGGGUAUGGCUGUUCGCCAUUUAAAGUGGUACGCGAGCUGGGUUUAGAACGUCGUGAGACAGUUCGGUCCCUAUCUGCCGUGGGCGCUGGAGAACUGAGGGGGGCUGCUCCUAGUACGAGAGGACCGGAGUGGACGCAUCACUGGUGUUCGGGUUGUCAUGCCAAUGGCACUGCCCGGUAGCUAAAUGCGGAAGAGAUAAGUGCUGAAAGCAUCUAAGCACGAAACUUGCCCCGAGAUGAGUUCUCCCUGACCCUUUAAGGGUCCUGAAGGAACGUUGAAGACGACGACGUUGAUAGGCCGGGUGUGUAAGCGCAGCGAUGCGUUGAGCUAACCGGUACUAAUGAACCGUGAGGCUUAACCUU
rnacentral:rRNA from 2 species